AUACGUAGGGGGCUAGCGUUAUCCGGGAUUUACUGGGCGUAAAGGGUGCGUAGGUGGUUUCUUAAGUCAGGAGUGAAAGGCUACGGCUCAACCGUAGUAAGCCUUUGAAACUGGGAAACUUGAGUGCAGGAGAGGAGAGUGGAAUUCCUAGUGUAGCGGUGAAAUGCGUAGAUAUUAGGAGGAACACCAGUUGCGAAGGCGGCUCUCUGGACUGUAACUGACACUGAGGCACGAAAGCGUGGGGAGC
rnacentral:rRNA from 1 species